rnacentral:rRNA from 1 species
UACAGAGGUCUCAAGCGUUGUUCGGAUUCAUUGGGCGUAAAGGGUGCGUAGGUGGCGCGCUAAGUCAGGUGUGAAAUCUCGGGGCUUAACUCCGAAACUGCAUUUGAUACUGGCGUGCUUGAGGACUGGAGAGGAGACUGGAAUUCACGGUGUAGCAGUGAAAUGCGUAGAUAUCGUGAGGAAGACCAGUGGCGAAGGCGGGUCUCUGGACAGUUCCUGACACUGAGACACGAAGGCCAGGGGAGCAAACAGG